rfam:Phalacrocorax carbo contig24690, whole genome shotgun sequence.
AUGCUUACCUGGCGGGGGAGACACCAUGAUCAGGCAGGUGGUUUUCCCAGGGCGAGGCUCAUCCCCUGCACUCCGGGUGUGCUGACCCCUUCGAUUUCCCCAAAGGCGGGAAACUCAACUGCAUAAUUUGUGGUAGUGGGGGACUGCAAAAAGGAAUUUUUUUC